GCCUAUAUCAAUUGGCUUGCCAACGUUUUCAUACACAUCCUCCACCAUUUUCAUCACUUGCUCUCAUCGUAGAUCAUAACAGGCAUUAAGGUUAGCGUUGCUUAGCAUAUCGGUCGCGAGAACUUUGCGCUUGUUUUUCUAGCUGGGACUACUGUAAGAGUCGAACGCAAUAUCAUUGGAGCCAAAGGUAAUAAUCUGUGCAGCAAUGGGAGGUUCUCGCUCUGAAAAUGCUAUAUCAUGGUCACGAACCACUUCUUUUACAAGCGAUGGAGAGCUAAUUACUACGGUUAGCUUGUUCCCAAGCCAAAACUUGUAAAUGGGACCAUAAACUCCACCCAACUCCGUAAAGACCAGAUGGAGAUUAUCGAAUCCAAGAAAUGGAAGAUACCCCAGGAUUGGCAACCCACGGGGACCAGGUGGUAAUGGAGCCAUCGGUUUCCUUGCCUUCCAAAAUGAGUACAAGAGUGAAAUUCCCAAUAUGGCAACCAGAAAUGAGAAAGAUGCUGGGAACACUCCAUCUUUCUGGUUGCCAACAUUCAACAGCCAUGAAAACGAGCUGCAAGCUAUUUGCAACAUCUUGUUGCUUUGGGAGGAAAACCAAGAAAUUUUAAUGUGAACCCACUGAGUUUAUCACGAAGUGCUGUGUUUAUUAUUGCUGAAAAGGGACCAUGAUUUAUAGUGCAACUGGUUUGGAUAAAAAGAAUAUUUCCUACUUCAACUUUGAGAAAAAAUUUUAAUAUGAUAACUAAAAUUUUAAAAUAUUUUUAAUUUUGAUUAAUUUUAGUUAUUGUAUUUCAAUAUUAUUGUUUUGGUUCUCACUUUUUAUCAUUACAAAAAUAAAUUAUAUUUGAUAAAUAUGAUAUGACAUAUUUACUCACAUAUUUAGUAGAGGUAUAAUUCUCAUAAUUGUUAUGAAAAUUAAGGGAUUUUAUUUGGAUAGUUUUCUUUGAAUGUAGUGCGUACAUAUAUAGUAUAGGUAUACCCCUACUUUUGUGUGUGAACACUAACCCUUUAAUUAUAGAAUAAAAAGAAAUUGUUAGUCAUCACACAUCUAGUUAUCUUUUUUGUUCAUAUGAUUAACUGCAUGGAGAAAUCUAAAGGCUAAAAAUUAUUUUUUGAAAAAAUAUUGUAAGAAUUUGUAUUUUUUAUUUUAAGUAUUUAAUGUUAUUGUGACAUUAUAUUGAAAUGUAAAAAUUAAAUUAAUUUAAAUUAUAUUUAAAUUCAUUAAUAUUAUGAUGUAUGAAAUAUAAAUUUUUUUAAUCUAUACUAUAUUCAAAAAGCAGACUAUGUAGCUAUCACAUAUCAAGGAAGUCUCAACUUAGUUGAGUAAUUACUAAAAACUUCUUCUUUUAUAAAUUAAUAAAUAUUAUUAUGAGAGGAUUUUUUUAUCAUUUUAAAUCAUAUAAAAUUUAGAAAAACACACUUGAUCAGAUUCGAACUCAAAAUUUAUGAAUAUACUGCAUUCAUAUCAUACAUAUAAAUACAAUUACACAUUAUACAAACCAUAUAUAAUCUCGAUAUAUAAAUAUUAGGCUUAAUACAUAAUUUGGUACUUAAAUUUGAUACUUUUUAAAUGUAGUACAUAUGUUUUCUGUCUAAUGUGAUAAUUGUGGCUAUACAUUUUAAUACCUAAAGGUAACAGUGCUAAUAUUUUAGUAUUUAGUUUGAGUUUUAGGAUUAAUUUGAUGAAAGUUAAUUGUUAAUAUAUAGCUUUAAUGAAUUUUCGUAAAACUCUAAAACUCGAAUUAAACUUUAAAAAGUUAACACUAUUACCUUUAGGUAUCGAAAUAUAUAACUUUUAUCAAAUAUAAAUAUUAGAUUGAACAAAAAAUAAUACAUACGCCACAUUAAAAAAUAUAUUAAAUUCGAGUAUUAAAUAAUACAUUGAACCUAUAAUCAAAAGUCGAUAACGCUUCAAACAGGUAACUCAAAUCCAGAAACAAAAACAAAAUACUUGGUAAAUGCAGUCGACUGAACUGAUAUCUUAUCAAUUUUGGAUUCUUCUAGGAGAAGUCGCUAUGGUGAAGAUUCACUUGGACGUUUCCUCUUAUCGUUUGCUCUCGAUCCGACAAGAAAUGCGUAAAGUCAAAACAAUUCAAGCUAAAACUAAGUUCAUCCACUCAAUUAAAAUGAAAACCAGAAAUGGGAUUUUUUUUUUUCUUUGAAAUGGGAAUAUGGCCACUCAAACAAGUAGGGGAAGAGAUAUUGGAUAUCAUGAAUUAAAUAAUUGAGUCUUGACAGUUUUUUUUAAAGAAAUUAUAAACAACACAAUAAGGAAGUACUAAUCGUAGAUAGAAGCUAAGAGGCGAGCAACUUAUCUUGUUGAACAAACAAGGACGCAUCAGGAUUCGGAGUUAAAACACCUUCUGGAGAUGCCACAAAUCUAAGCGGAGCAAGUAACGUGCCCUCUAAAUAUCCUUGCAACUCAUAUCCUUCUGUGAUUAAACUAACAUGUUGCUGCCAUUGCACGAAAUUCUCUUCAUCCAAUUUCACGGUGUCAUGACGCGCAAAUGACUGAACCAAACGUGAGCUGGAAAACGGACUAGUAUGACCAGCAGAAGUAGAAUCUGUUGAAUUAGCCAUGGAUCGGUAGCGGAAGCAAAUACCAGGAAAUUAGGCGACUGAUACCACGUUAGUAACUAGAUUAUUAUGUAAAACAGAGAACAAUAUUGAAAGAUUAGAAAAUACAGAAAAUAUUGCUUAGUAUUCUUAUCUGCUUGAAUCAAUACAAUACUAUAGUUUAUAUACUUGUAUAUGAGUAACUGCUCUUAACCAAUUUCAUACCAGACUACGUAACAGAAUAAUAACAGACUAACAAUCUCUAUACUCUAACAAUGAAUAUAUACAUAGAAAUAAUAUUUAUUUGUAAAAUUUAUAUUAAACACUUACAAAAAAAAUAUACUAACUUUGUGGAUGAUAUGGAAAACUAUUUUUUUUGAAUUUUCAUGGUUUCUACUAGUACUUUUGAACCAUGUGUUACACCUUCCCAUUUAGCCCACACAAAUGCAAAUUUCAUAUUAAAAUCACAUAUGACCAGCACAUUAAUUGGUAUUAUUGCAUGAAUAAGCCCCAUCAAGUACACCAUUAGCACCCUAUUUGCAAUUAAUAAGAAAAAAAUAUUAUUAUAAUAAUAAAUAAAUAAGAUAUAAUCAUAUAAUAAGUAAUUUAUUACAUUAAAUACAUCUCUCAAUUAUUGAUGAUAUGGCUCAUGUGUUACUUCAACUGCUUGUGUAGGCACAACCAUUUCUUUCGAAAAAAGAAGCAUUGCGUUCAACAUUCCAUGAAAGUAAAAUGAUUAAAUCUUCUUUUUAUAGCACAAUUUCUCAUCAAAUAAUGAUGUCAUCUCUUCCACAAAUUGUAAUCCAGUGAAUCGAAACUUUCUGUUGUCUAAAGUACUGUUAGCAUGACAAUAAUCUAUCUAUUUUUUAAUUUAACUUUCUUUUAAAAUUUUGAAAUCUCUUAAUAUGCAGUCAAUCAACUGUGUUUUUUACUGAAUUUUAGCCAUAACCAGAUCACCCUACUGUGCUUAUUUGGUCAAUACAUAAAUCUAAGAACAAUUUCACCAAUGAGUGAUCUUUCUAGCUAGCAUCAAAAGAUGUCAUUCCUACACAACUAUUGAAAAAUCGAUAUUUUUUAAGCAUAUGCCAUGAUAAACAAGUAAUAAAAUAAAAGACAUCGUAGGAGAUAUUUAACCCAUAGGAUUGCUUAGCAACAAUAUGAAAAGUUGACGGCUAAUAUUGACAUUUUUUUCGGUAUUUUUAUGUCUAGUUUAUUGUUCAUGUUCAGAUUCGUAACUACUCCUAUUAAAAAUAUUAUCACCAAAAUUUAAACUCGUAUUUUUUAUAAGGUGUUAUUAGCUUUACAAUUGUAACCAAUAUUUAUCAGUUUGACAAUUUUUUUUAAAAGAGAUUAAUUUCACAAAUUAAACAGCUUAAUUAUGUAAUUUUUUAAUAUUUAAUUUAUUUGAAGAUAAUAGAGGGAAUAAGUUAUGUGUGGUGUGUGGACAAAAUACAAAUGACGUAAACUUUGAGAAAGGUCUUUUUUAACACAAUUGAUUCAAAUUUUUUAAAAUUAAUAUCAAUUUAAUUAAUCACAUAAUUUUUUCUUUAAAUGUGCUGUUUUUAGUUUCAUAAUUUAUGUAAAAGAAAAGAAAAUUAUGUGGAGUUAAUAGAGGGGUGGGGUGAGUCACGUCUGGUGUGUGGACAAAAUACAAAUGUGGAGACAGCCACACAUACGUUAUCCUUUAAAGAUAUUGUUUACAUUUAUGGUAAAUGUCUUUCGACACAUUGAUAAUAAUUCAGAAAUAUUGUCAAUUUUGUUUGAUGAUUUUUUUUAUAAUUUUUUUAUAAAUAUUUUUUAAAAAAAUUAUUUUUCAAAUAAAUAAAAAUAAUCAGUAACUUUUAUUUAGAAUUUUUAAGUCAGGUGUUGAAAAAUUAAAUAUUAAAUUUAAAUUAUAAAAUUUACUUGAAAUAUUUUUAAAAAUUAAAUAUGGAAUAUAAUUAAACCCUUUGAUAAAUAUAACUUUAUAACUAGCUCGUUAUUUACUUAUUAUUUUUCACUCUUUUUCAUUAAAAAAAUUAUACUUUUUUUAUUCAACCAAAAUGCAUUAAGAAAAAGAAGAAAAUUUGCAAACAAUAUGGAAAUAAAUUUUAACAAGCAUAAUAAAGAAAAGACUAAAUUUAUUUAAUUGCAAAAAAAAAUAUUCUCAUUAGAAGGAGUAAAAUUGAAAUUUUAAAAUUCAAAUCAUAAAAUAAAGAAAGGAAAGAAAAAAAAACUAAUUAAAAUUAAAAAACUUUAAAAAAUCUAAUUUCAGAAAAAUAAAAAUAAAAAUGUAGUGUGAUCUUUUACUAAAAAGAAGCUUAAUUUUGAAAAACACAAAAUGUAAAAGGCAAAGAGGCCUAAUUGGCAAAUUUACCACUCAAGAUUUCAAAAUCUGAAGCAAACGGGAAAUAAAAGGGAUUGAUAUUGAUAUUGUUCCUAAUUCGGCCUCUGACUAGACUAAAACCAAUUUGGUUUAACAUUAAAAAUUGUGCUUGGAAAACAAAACAUUUUGGGCUUUGAAUUUAAAUGAUCUUUCACCCAAUCCCCGACAUGAUUUCUUAUUUAAAACUGAUUUUUUUUUAUUUUCUAAAAACAUAAUUUUAUUUUAUUUAAAAUAAAACUUUUAUUUUAUUAUUAUUUUUCAAAAAAAAAACACAAGUAGAUAUCCAAAUAUCUACUCCAUUUCAUGCCAAAAUUAAAUUAAAAAUUAUUUAAAAUUGAUUUCAAAUCAAGUUCAAGUGGAGAUUGUAAGUCCCGACAAAUAUUAAUUUUCAAUUGAUUUAUUUUUUCAUUAUAAAUUAAUAAAAAUAAAUUUUAAUUUGAUUUUAUAUAAUUAUAUUUAAUUUUUUAUUUGAUUUAGAUAAUUAUAAUUAUAAUUUCUAUUUAAAAAAUCUCUAGAUCAUCUUUAUUCAAAUUGAUUUUUUAAUUUUUUUCGAAUUAAAUUCAAUGUAAUAUAUGUGUUUUAUUAACAAAAUAUAUAGAAUACCUACAACAUAAAAAGACAAUACUUCAAAUCGAGAGUAGCAAUAAUAUGAACCACGUAAAUGAUGGAAAGAGAUACAACAAUUAUAGUUUAAAACGCAUUAAAUCUAAAACAAGGAGACAUAUUAACAAAUUCUAAACUUAAUUAUUGAAGUGCUGCUAAUAGAUUUAAUCAUCGUCUUUUUUACGUUUUUAACAAUUAAUUUCGAGAUUAGUUAAUCUUGGUGUAGGAAUAAGAAGUACGGAUUUCUUUUUCUUCAUAACAAUUCCAAAUUUGCCGGACAUGUCGAGCACUGUUCCGUAUGGCAAUCUCCACUCAAAAGAAUGCAACAAUGAAGCCAAUAUGAAAAACAAUAGCUUCUCCGCUAAGGGUAUUCCUGGGCACUUUCUCCUUCCGGACCCGAAUGGCAUGAACCGAAAAUCAUUUCCAUAAUAAUUUGAAUUGUCAAGAUCAUUUAAGAAUCUUUCCGGUCGAAAUUCUAAAGGAUUCUCCCAAAUACGAGGAUUCCUAUGAAUGCUCCACAUAUUUAUGAACAACCUGCUGCCCUUUGGUAUGGUAUAGCCAUUGAGAUGGACCGAUCGGGCCGGACAUCGAGGAACAAGGAGCGGUAGUGCUGGAUGUAGUCGGAAGGUUUCCUUUAUCACAGCGUUUAGGUAACUUAAAUUAGACAAGUGAAACUCUUCAACGGUGUUGUUUACCCCAACAACAUCACUUAAUUCUUUCUUCACUUUCUCCAUUAUUUCUGGAUGUUGCAUUAGCUCUGCCAUUGUCCACUCUACCAUAGUUGUAGUAGUAUCUGUACCACCCACCAAUAUAUCCUAAAAGUUCAAAAUUAAUAGCAUUAAUUACCCAAACUAGAAAGCAAAGAUAAAGGGUAUAUUAUAUAUAUAUAAUAAUUAGUUUUUAUUUUCAUAAGAUGCAUAGGUCGGUUGGGUAUAUUAAUUUUUUAAUAUUUUUAAAACAUUAAUUUUUAUUUAAAAUCAUUAAUGAAUUAAAAAAUAAUAAUAUAAUUACAAAAUAUUUUUAAAAAAUAUUUAAUUAACUUAUACUAAUAUUAUUUAAUGUUAAAACAAUACAAAAUUUUAUUAUAGUUUGAAUAUUAAUAUCAAUUUAUUAAAAUUUACAUAAUUAUAUUAAUAUUUUUUUAUAAUUUAUUUAUUUUAUAUAUACUAAUUCAUAUGUUAAGUACAUAACACUAAAAUUUUAUUUUUUUUCAUUUUACUCUGUAAAUAUUAUUUUAAAUGGAAACAUAUGCAUAUAUUUAUAUUGCUAAAUAUUAAUUUUAAUUGGUAUAAGUAAUUAUAAUUAUUUUAUAAAUUUUAUAAAUUUUAAAAAAUAAUAAGAAACAUAGAUAAUACAAAAUACUAAAUUUUAAUUAAUUGACUUUCUUCAUCUUAAUUUCUCAAAUAGAUAUGAGUCAAAAUAUUUGUUGAGUUGAAAUUUGUGUUGAACUGAAUAAAUUUAAUUAGAUGCAAUUAAUAUUUAUAAAAAAUAAUAUUUAAUUUAAUUUAAUUAUAAAAUAUAUUUAUUUUCUUUUGAGUUUUUACAUAUAAAUUAAGGAUAAAUAAAUAAAUUCAUACAUUGUAGAUUAUAUUAUCAAUAUAUUGAUAUUAUUUUUAUAUAUAUAAUGUUAGUCUCGCACAUUUAAUUUUUAUUAAUUAUAUAAAAAAUGAUUUUAAAAUUAUUAAUUAUUAACAUAUUUAAAAUAAAAUCAUAUUUAUAUAUAUAUAUUGUAUUUAUUUAUCCAAUUAUAUUCAAUGAUAUUAUAGAUUUAUAAUUUUAUUAAUUAAUAAUAUAUUAUAUUAUUUUUUAACUAGAACUUUUAAAAGAUAUGAUCAAAUUAAUUAAUUUCACAUUAAUAUACUAUCAUAUUAAUUUUUAUUAUUAUCACAUAAUAAUAUCAAUAAAUUAUUAUUUUAAUGUCAAUUUAAUAAUAUAUUUAACAAUAAAGGGUAUCUAAAUUAUUAAAACUCAUGCUUAUAGAUAUUAAAAAUUGUUAAAUUAGUUUGUUUUAACAUGAAAAUUGUUAAUAUUUAAUUUUAUACAAAGGUAAAAUUAUGCUAUUAGUUAUUUUUAGUGUAAUAUUAAAAAAAUUUAAAAUUCAAAAAAUUAAACAAAUUAAAAACUAAUAAAUUAAAAAAAUGAAAACCAAAUUCACAACUUACCACGAGCAGACCCUUGACUUCAUCCAUUGUAAGAGGUGAUGCAUUAUCUUCGUUGUUAUUGCGCUCCAAAUGCAAUAGCAGCUCUAAGAAGCCUAAUUUUUGUUCACUACUCUUCUUAUCUUUUUCCUUAUCAAUGGCCACUUCAAUUACAGAUUCAAUAAGUCGAUUGAACUGUUGGUUUAUUUUCCUCAUUCCCCUCUCAAUACCUUGUAUGUCAAACCGUGCAAUCACCGGAAAAAAAUCGGAGACGUUCGGUUUUCCCAGUAACACCAUUGAUUCAGACGAAUUCUCUUUCAAGUUACCUUCAAUGGUGGCCCCUUUCUCACCUGGGAGUUCACCUCCCAAAAUCAUGCUGAUGGCCGCAUUCAAUGCCACUAAAUAUGUCCAUUUCCCAAUAUCAAUUGGCUUGCCAACAUUUUCAUACACAUCUUUAAGGCCAUUCAUUACUUGUUCUCUUCGUAGACCAUAACAAGCAUUCAGCCUAGCAUUGGUAAGCAACUCGGUUGCAAGAACUUUACGCUUGUUUUUCCAUCGAGUAUUGCUGUAAGAAUCGAAUGCAAUAUCAUUGCAACCAAAGCUAGCAACUUGUGCAGCAAUGGGUGGAUCUCGUUCAGAGAAUGUUACAUCAUGGUCACGAACCACUUCUUUUGCUAGUUCCGGUGAGCUAAUUACGACACAUAGCUUGUUGCCAAGCCAAAGUUUGAAGAUGGGACCAUAGGUUGCAGCCAGUUCGGCGAAGGACAGGUGAAGAUUAUCGGUGCCAAGAAAUGGAAGAUAUCCCACUAUCGGCAACCCUCGAGGACCUGGCGGCAACUGAGCGACGAUCUUCUUGGACUUCUUAACGAACCAUAGGUGCCAAAAUGAAAUUGCAAGUACGACCAUGACAAAGGAUAAGACAGCUCGAAAGAGUCCAUCUUUCGGCUUGCUCAAAUCUAAUAGCCAUGGAUUCAAGUUGUAAGCUGUCUGCAACAUCCUAGGGGGGUCUAGAGAAAAAAAGAUGAUGAUUCACAAUAAAAAAAAUAGUGAAAGUGAUAAGAAAGUAGACAUGAUUUUAUAUAGGAGAUUUAAUUAGAGGACAAAAUCAAUUAUGAAUGACUUGGCUGAAACUUGGCCUCAUAUAGACUUCAGGCUCUGAAAUUUGGUUUAAUCGUAACCUAUAAAACUAUUUUGAAAAAAAAAAUCAAUUAAUCCUUCUUUUUUUCCCAAAAUAUUCAACCAUGGAUCCAAUCAUAUUUUUAUUCUAGUUUAACCAAUUCAGCUUGGUUCAAAUAAUCAUGAUUUUUUUAGACUCAAUUGAGACAUUAAACUUACAAAAUUUACUAAAUCAAUUAUUUAACUAACGUUGAUGGUAAGUUUCUAAAAUUACUAAUACCAUUAUUAACAGUCACUAAAUCAACUAAUGAAUGCUGACUUGGCACUACCAUAUCAAUAAGAUAAAAAAAUAAAAUUAAAAAUUAAAAAUUCAAGUUCAAAAUGAACCUAGACAAAUAAUUUUGAAUCUAAACAAUUUAAAUUGAUUUUGUCUUUAUAGUAUUUUUUAGUUGAAAUCAAAGUAGUCACAGUUGAUAAAAAUAACUAAUUUUUUUGUCAUGGAAACUCUCCGAAAAUUUAUACAGUUAGUCAUAAAAUGUAUUUUAUUCCUAUAAAUGAGAAUUAAACUCCCAACCUUAUAAUUAAGGGAUGAGGUAAAUAAACACUACACUACACGGCUGAAUUUUUUAUGUUGUAUGGAAAGAUAAGAUUAUAGUAUAUGGAAAGAUAAGCUUGGACCACUCGCUGGAUGUGGUCAAAAUUUUCCAACUUUGAUUUCCAUUGCUGGACGCAUGUGUUGAUUGCCUUUCUUUGUUAGGGAGUGUUAACAAUGACAUUUCAAUAAUUUUUGGAUACGAGAUAACGAAUCAACAGAAAACGAUUGAACACCACAACCGGUCAAGACAGGAGGCUGAUUGCGACAACAAAAUGAAGGAAAAGAGAGCAAAUAUGUGCGGCAAUGGCAAAAAAUCAGCAAUAAAGUCCAGCCACAACAGAGAAGUGAAGAGAUGAAUAAAAUUAAAAGAAAACGAGAGGAGAAGACGAUCAAUGGGGUGCGACGGCCACAAGUGGAGGAGGAAGGGAAGAAAGAGGCGGCACAAAGAUGGAAAAAUUAGGGUUUUAGGAGCGGCAAGGCAAGGAUAAAGAAGAAAAGUUGAAGAAUGAGAGGAAGAGAGGAGGGUGGGACGGCAAAGAGAAAAGAAAAAAUGAUCAAAAGAGGUUGAACAGAAAAUUAAAUAAUAUUUAUAUCUAGGGUUACAGCAUGGGACAAUAUAGCUAGGAUUUUGGACAAAAAAAAUUAAGGGAAGGGAAUUAAAUUCAAGGACAAAUUCAUUAACUCUUAAUCAUCAAACUAAUAACUCUUUCUUUAUUCAAUCAAAUAAAAGAUAUCAAUAAAAUGGGGCAUUAGAGUAGUUGAUAUCUCAGUCCUAGAUGACAUGCCAGGAUUAAUAGACGAUAGUAAUUUGCAAAAGGAGAUACAUAUAAUAAUAAUAGUUUAUAGCCAUUACUUUUUGUAAAGCACAUGAUCAGACAAUCUUGGUAUGGGAAUAAGACGUAAAGGGUUCUUUUUCUUUAUAACAAUUCCAAAUUUGCUGGAAAGGUCAAGCUGUUCGCCUUGGGGCAAUUUCCAUUCAAAAGAAUGCAGCAAUGAGGCCAAUAUGAAAGAUAACAUCUUCUCCGCUAGGGUUAUGCCUGGACAACGUCUCCUUCCUGACCCAAAUGGCAUAUAUCGAAAAUCAUUUCCAAGAAAAUUAAACUUUCCAGGCUCAUCCAAGAACCUUUCGGGUCGAAAUUCUGAAGGGUUGUCCCAAAUAUUGGGGUCCAUGUGAAUGCACCACAUGUUUAAAUACACCUUGCUACCCUUUGGAAUGGUAUAGCCACCCACGGUGAGUGAUUGAGCAGAACAAUGAGGAAUAAGAAGGGGCAGAGGUGGAUGCAAUCUGAAGGUCUCCUUUAUCACUGCAUUUAGGUAACUUAAAUUAGGCAAGUGAAACUCUUCAAUGAUGUCAUUUACCCCAACAACAUCAGUUAGUUCUUUCUUCACUUUCUCCAUUAUUUCUGGAUGUUGCAUUACCUCUGCCAUUACCCACUCUGUCGUAGUUGAAGUAGUAUCUGUUGCACCUACCACAACGUCCUAUUACAAACCACCAAUUACUCAAAACAAAUUAAAGAAGGAAAAAUAAUGUAUGAUAGCUAAAAAUGUUGAAAGCUGGACUGCAAUGCAACAUGGAGCCGGAAGCAUGCUACUAUCGAGACCAGCAGCUAUCGAGCUCAGCUCAUUUUGCUUGGUGUGCACGAAUGGUUUUCAGACCAAAUGAAGCAACUGAUAUUGCUGUUUUGUUUGGAUGUAACUUAGUUCAGUUUGAUUGUAACUAGAUUUAAUAGUUAGUUGGAUUAAGUUUGUGAUUGGAUUGAUGAUGUAAAAGCUGAUAUGUCAGCUUAUUUUGUAUUUGACUUAAGCUUGUAUUAGUUUAGUUUAAGUGGGAGUAGUUAUGUCAUUAGGUAUCUGUCAAAUGAACCAAAAUUUGUAGCUCUUUUAUAUAUUCAAAUUUUGAAUGAAAAAUUUGGAAUGUUCAGUUACAACUUUGCUGAGUAUUCAAUUUUGUUCAUUGCUUUGCUUUUUCUUUGCUUCGAUUCUUCUUGCUUCAGUCUUACAAAUAUAGUUUUGUAACUUUGUUUGAUGUUUGCUGCUGCCAUUGUUCCAACAAAUGGUAUCAUGAGCCCGAGUCUUUGAGGGGCCUUUGUAUGCAAUCUGUUGUGUUCGAAUCAAAACCAACAGCAAGUUCAAAAUUUGGUAAGAUCGAAGCAUUUGGAUUCAGUCUAGCAGGAUGAGUUUCACUCCACCUCCUCCAUCUGUGUUCACUGGAGAAAAAUAUCACAUUUGGAUAGUCAAAAUGAAGACUUACCUCCAGGCACAUGAUCUCUGGAGUGUGAUCGAGAAUGAUGCUGAACCACCUCCAUUGAGAGCCAAUCCCACCAUUGCACAGAUGAGGCAGCAUGCUGAUGAGCGAGCCAAGAAGCAUAAGGCUAUGGCCUGCUUGCAAAAUGGAGUCUCUGAUGUGAUAUUCACUCGUAUCAUGGCCUGUGACUCACCAAAACAGGCCUGGGAGAAGCUGAAGGAGGAGUUCAUGGGGACUGACAAGACAAGGCAACAGCAGGUGAUCAACCUCAGGAGAGACUUUGAAAAUUUGAGGAUGAAGGAGUCUGAGACCAUCAAGCAGUACUCAGACAGGAUAAUGGCCAUUGUCAACAGCAUUAGGCUCCUGGGAGUGGACUUCACAGAGAGCAGAGUUGUUGAAAAGGUUAUUACAACUCUCCCUGAGAAAUUUGAGUCUAAAAUCUCUUCACUUGAGGACUCGAGGGACUUAUCAGCCAUUUCAUUGUCUGAGCUGAUAAACUCCCUGUAUGCACUUGAGCAAAGGAGGGCAAAUAGACAGGAGGAGAAUCCUGAAGCUACUUUCCAGGCUAAAGCCAGUGAAGGCUCGAGUGUGAGUGCAAAAGGCAAGAAGCCUUGGCACAAUAGAAGGGUCAAGUCAGGAAGAGAUGAAGCAAAAAGGGUGUUCCCACCAUGUGUUCAUUGCAAGAAGACAACAUAUUCAGAAAAGUAUUGCUGGUUUAGGCCAGAUAUUCAGUGUAGAAAAUGCAAGCAGUUUGGCCAUGUGGAGAAGGUGUGCAAGGGCAAACCAAGGGAGGCUGCUCUGCAACAAGCUAGACCUGCUGAGGACAUUCAAGCUCAGGAGGAGUAAGUGUUCACAGCAACUUAUUUUGUUGGCACAACCAAGGCCAGCAAUGAUUGGCUACUAGACAGUGGCUGCUCACACCAUAUGGCAGCAGAUGAAAAGCUGUUCAAGGGCCUAGACAGAAGCUUCCACUCGAGGAUUAGAAUUGGAGAUGGUAGGCUGAUUGAAGCUAAUGGCAAGGGCAGUGUGUUGAUUAGCACUGGUUCAGGUAACAAGCUGAUCUCAGAUGUGUUUUUUGUACCUGACUUAGACCAGAAUUUGCUUAGUGUAGGCCAAUUAGUUGAAAAGGGCUAUACAUUGUUUUUUAAGGAUGGUUGCUGUAUUGUUCAAGACAUGAAUGGUCUGGAGUUAGUCACAGUCUCUAUGACUGAUAGGUGCUUCAUGCUUGAUGUUAGCCAAAUAGAAAGAAAGGCAUACACCAGCCUUGUUGAAAGCACUGACUUGUGGCAUAGGAGACUAGGCCAUACAAAUUUUAGAUCCAUCGAUCUGUUACAUAGGCUGAAUUUGGUUGAUGACAUUUCAAAAAUUAAAGUUAAUGGGAAUGUUUGUGAGGUUUGUCAGCUUGGUAAGCAGGCUAGACUGCCUUUUCCUGCUGACAGUGCUUGGAGAGCUCAAAACAAGCUCGAAUUGGUGCACUCUGAUGUUUGUGGCCCUAUGAGAACACCUUCAAUCAGUGAGAACAGGUACUUUGCCCUGUUUAUAGAUGAUUUAACAAGGUUGUGCUGGGUCUACUUCUUGAAGCAAAAGUCAGAAGUGUUUGAAGCCUUCUGCAAAUUCAAGGCUUAUGCUGAAAAUCAGUCAGGCUACAAAAUUAGAGCCCUGAGGACUGAUAAUGGCUCUGAAUAUAUGUCUGAGAGAUUUCAGAAGCUUUGUGACAGUGCUGGGAUUCACCAUCAGCUCACAACAGUCUAUACUCCUCAACAGAAUGGAGUCUGUGAGAGAAAGAAUAGGACUGUACUGAACAUGGCCAGGUGCCUCUUGUUUCAAAGCAAGCUUCCAAGUCAGUUUUGGGCUGAGGCAGUCAACACCUUAGUGUAUCUGCUCAACAGACUGCCAACUAGAGCAGUCAAGGAUAAGACUCCUUUUGAGGCUUGGCAUAGAGUCAAACCUGUGGUAACACACUUGAAAGUGUUUGGCUGUGUAUGUUAUGCUUUUAUUCCAGUGGAAAAGAGGACCAAGCUCGAGAGCAGGGCUACUCCAGGAAUCUUUGUUGGCUACAGCAGCAACAAGAAGGGCUAUAGAGUGUAUGAUCCAACAGCAAAGAAGGUUUUAGUCAGCAGGGAUGUAAAGUUUGAUGAGGAAAAGGUAUGGAAUUGGAAUGGUGUUGAAGCUGACUUGUCUGAAUUGGACCAGUUAGACUUGGUUGCUGAACCUGCAGAAGAAGGACCAAGUAAUGAUGCUGUCGAUGAUACACCAGUGAAGGGCACCAGAACUUUGGCUGAUGUCUAUCAGAGGUGCAAUGUUGCUGUGAUUGAGCCUUCAGACUUUGAAGAGGCUGCCAAGGAUAGAAGCUGGAUGGAAGCUAUGGAAGCUGAGCUGGAAAUGAUCAAUAAAAAUGAAACAUGGGAGUUGGUGAGCAGACCAGAAAAUAAGAAGGUUAUUGGGGUUAAAUGGGUGUACCGGACCAAGUACAAUGCUGAUGGCUCACUGAACAAGCACAAGGCCAGGCUUGUGGUGAAGGGCUACAGUCAGCAGUAUGGUGUGGACUACUUGGAGACUUUUGCUCCAGUGGCAAGACUGGAUACAAUUAAGCUGCUGUUUGCUUUAGCAGCUCAGAAGCAGUGGAGAGUUCACCAAUUGGAUGUCAAAUCAGCAUUCCUGAAUGGUUUUCUCAAGGAGGAGAUCUUCAUCGAGCAACCUGAAGGUUUUGAAGUUGUUGGACAUAAAGACAAAGUGUAUAAGUUGAGAAAGGCCCUCUAUGGCCUGAAACAGGCACCAAGGGCCUGGUAUGACAGAUUUGAUGCUUACCUGACCAAACUUGGAUUUGUGAAGAGCCUUAGUGAGCCUACUCUGUAUGUUAAAAGGUCAGAACAUGAAACCUUGCUGAUUGUCUCCUUGUAUGUGGAUGAUUUGCUUGUGACAGGGAGCAAAGUUGGGCUCAUUGAUGAGUUCAAGGUCCAAAUGCAGCAAGUGUUUGAAAUGACAGAUUUGGGGAUCAUGACUUACUUCCUUGGCAUGGAAGUUCACCAGUCUGAUCGAGGUAUCUUCAUCAGCCAACACUCAUUUGCUUUGAAGAUCCUAGACAAAUUCUGCAUGCAUAACUGUAAAGCAGUCAGCACACCUGUGGCCCAAGGAGAAAAGCUGACUAGCAGUGGUGAUCAGCAGAGGGUUGAUGAGAGGCACUAUCGAAGCCUAGUUGGUUGUCUGUUGUAUCUAACAGCAACCAGGCCAGACAUCAUGUUUGGUGUCAGCCUGUUAUCGAGAUUUAUGUAUUGUUGCAAUGAGGCACAUUUGAAGGCAGCAAAGAGGGUCCUUAGAUACAUCAAGGGCACUGCUAGUUUUGGUGUAAUGUUUGAAAGUGGGAACCAACUGAAACUAGAAGGCUACUCUGACAGUGACUGGGCAGGAUCCCUCGAUGACAUGAAGAGUACCUCAGGAUACUUCUUCACACUUGGAUCGGGGAUGUUUUGCUGGAGUUCAAAAAGGCAGCAAACUGUUGCUCAGUCCACAGCUGAAGCAGAAUACAUUGCUGCAGCAGGAGCAGUUAAUCAGGCCAUUUGGCUAAGGAAGCUGUUUCAUGACCUUAAUGAAACUCAAGAUGAAGCAACUGAAAUUUGGGUGGAUAAUCAGUCUGCAGUUGCAAUAGCCAAGAACCCUGUGUUCCAUGGUAAGACUAAGCAUUUUAAAAUCAAACUGCAUUUUGUUAGAGAAGCUGAACAAGCAAAGGAAGUCAGCCUUGUGCAUUGCAGCUCAGGGGCACAAUUGGCUGACAUAAUGACCAAGUCCUUGGGGGCUGCUCGAUUUGAAUCUUUGAGAAGUGCAAUUGGAAUGUGUUGCAUACAGUCCAAGGAGGAGUGUUGAAAGCUAGACUGCAAUGCAACAUGGAGCCGGAAGCAUGCUACUAUCGAGACCAGCAGCUAUCGAGCUCAGCUCAUUUUGCUUGGUGUGCACGAAUGGUUUUCAGACCAAAUGAAGCAACUGAUAUUGCUGUUUUGUUUGGAUGUAACUUAGUUCAGUUUGAUUGUAACUAGCUUUAAUAGUUAGUUGGAUUAAGUUUGUGAUUGGAUUGAUGAUGUAAAAGCUGAUAUGUCAGCUUAUUUUGUAUUUGACUUAAGCUUGUAUUAGUUUAGUUUAAGUGGGAGUAGUUAUGUCAUUAGGUAUCUGUCAAAUGAACCAAAAUUUGUAGCUAUUUUAUAUAUUCAAAUUUUGAAUGAAAAUUUGGAAUGUUCAGUUACAACUUUGCUGAGUAUUCAAUUUUGUUCAUUGCUUUACUUUUUCUUUGCUUCGAUUCUUCUUGCUUCAGUCUUACAAAUACAGUUUUGUAACUUUGUUUGAUGUUUGCUGCUGCCAUUGUUCCAACAAAAAAUCAUAAAAUCUUACCAUGAGAAGGCCCUUUACUUGAUUCAUCGUAAGUGAUGAAGGGCUAUCUUGGUUCUUGUGUAAAUCCAAGAGCAAUUGUAAGAAGUCGAAUUUUUGUUCACUCAUUUCUUUCUCAGUCACCGUGUUCAUUCUGAGUUCAAUCACAGACUCUAAAAGUUCAUUGAACGAUUGACGGAUUUUCUUCAUUCCCCUCUUAAUACCUUGGAUGUCUAACCAUGCAAUCGCGGGGAAAAUAUCUGAAAUGUUUGGUUUUCCCACUAACACCAUCAUCUGCGAAGAAAUAUCUUUGAAGCGACCCUCAACCGCAGUCCCUUUCUCUCCUCGGAGUGCGCCUCCCCACACCAUCUUUCCGAUCAAAUUGAUUAACGCACAGUAUGCCAAUUCGCCGAUAUCAAUUGGCUUGCCAACAUUUUCAUACACAUCCUCCACCAUUUUCAUCACUUGCUCUCGUCGUAGAUCAUAACAGGCAUUAAGGUUAGCGUUGCUUAGCAUAUCGGUCGCGAGAACUUUGCGCUUGUUUUUCCAGCUGGGACUGCUGUAAGAGUCGAACGCAAUAUCAUUGGAGCCAAAAGUAAUAAUCUGUGCAGCAAUGGGAGGUUCUCGCUCUGAAAAUGCUAUAUCAUGGUCACGAACCACUUCUUUUACAAGCGAUGGAGAACUAAUUACUACGGUUAGCUUGUUCCCAAGCCAAAGCUUGUAAAUGGGACCAUAAACUCCACCCAACUCCGUAAAGACCAGAUGG
rnacentral:lncRNA from 1 species